AUCAAAACACCUGUACUGCUAACACGCUCGCCCCAUGACACCUUGUGUCACCCUAGUAUAAUUAUAAUGAGUGCACUUUGGGGUUGUCAUGGUAGCGUUCCAGUAAACUUGUCGGCUUAAAAUGCAUUCUCAUGUACAGAUCUAGAUACAGGAUUGGUAAAGAUUAAUGUCAGUAUUAAACCAUUUAUGUAUGUGUCAGUAAAUAGCUUAGUACAUGUAGAUCUACACUCAUGAUCUGAUGGACAAGAGUUUGGUUCUUUAUGUUACGAGGGCAGAAGGUGUGUACAUGUAGAUGUUGCAAUCUGAGUACAUUCACUAUUGUUAUUACAAUUCUACAGCAGGUAGUGGAGAACAACAUUGUAUUCGUGACAAUGGGGAGAAAAAAUCAGUUGAAUUUGAGGCCACCAUUCCAAAUUGUACAAGGUUCACUCGGUAUCGUGUGGACUCUGACCUAUUGACUCCCUCCAUCAGCCGUUCAAUCACGGACCCUCUUCUGUUUGAUGGCUCACUCAGUUUCUCCCUCCUCACUGACAAGAUUAUACAGAAUACAGUGUCACACUGACUGAU